rnacentral:lncRNA from 1 species
GAUAUAAAAUUUACUUUACAGUGACUCGUGGGCCCACAAGGAACAAAAGUGCACAAAGGCAGUAAACUUACAAUUUUUGGAGUAGUAAAGCUGACUAUAGCCUUCGACGAUAUUACCUAUCUACACACUAUCCUGAGCCUAAUAUGGGUAGAAAUGAGGGUGGUGAGAUUAUAUAAUCCCAGUGAGUAAACAAAUACCAUCUAAAAUAUCUAAAGCCGAGUAAAUGGAGACAAUUAAAAUAAAUCAUCAUACUGUAAUUUCAUUACCUUUCAACUUAUUUCAACCAAAUAAACAACUAGGCUUAUGAUUUCCUGAAAAGCUUGGCUCGUGCCAAAAAUCAUUCUCAUACUCAGUUAUCAGGGAUGCCUUGAUC